UUGCAUUUUUGUGUGUGUUCAGGGAUGCUC
rnacentral:piRNA from 1 species